CAACAAGCUCGUAAAUUAUCUCAUUUCACAACUUCCCAACACACGAAAUGGUGCAAUAAUUUGUUGAAAAAUCCAAAAAUCUUACAGUUUCAAACCAUGUAGAAUGGGUGCCAAAAAAAAUAAAAAAAAUCAUAAAUAAUUUGUUCAAAAUCCCAAAAAUCUAACAUUCUCAAAUCGCUACGCAGUCGCUAUUAUUUCUAGUCUAAAGCCAUCGACGACAACCCCAGAAGAUGAUGAUAGCGACGAUGAAAUCGACAACUUUGUUGCGGUUUGGGCACUCGAUAAUAUGACACAAAGUUAAAGAUGUUGCAUUAUUUGUUGUUUGACGAUAGCCGGAGUUAGGGACGAAAGUGCCGACGACAUCAACAAUAAUUAAAGGUUGCAGUUCGACGGGGAUAGAUGGGAGGAAUGGGCGUGAGAAGGUGGAGCCUUUAGUGUGUUUUGUUUUCAUUCAACAUUCAUGUGGGUUGUUUCAAAAUCAUUCAUUAUUCUAUUAUUUAUUUGUUUGAAAAUAGACUUGACACAUCAUCUAGAAAACUUCUGUGAAAUGGCUUCUGUACGCGUAGCACUAUUGUUUCUUAAUAGUAUUUUCGUAUUUGGAGAGUGGAGGUGAAUAGAGUUAUCAGUUAUCAAAGAUGGUAAAGAUGUCAUUAUAAAGGUAAGAAGAGUUA
rnacentral:lncRNA from 1 species